CGGCGCCGACUGGGGGCUUUGCUGCCGUCGUCGUCACCAUCGAGCACGAGGGGAAGAGAGAGAUUCGUAGUGGAGUGAGAGAGUGAGAGAUAAGCGCGACUGAGAGGAAAGCUCGCAACAGAGAUGAGAGGGACCAUCGCCAUCGCUGCUGGUGUGGUCGGAGCCGCUGUCAUCAUCGUCCUCGAU